UCCAGUACGUUUUUGGUGUAUUAAUAUACAAAUCGACCCACAGUUUCAAGACAUACGUAAAUUACUCGUUAUAGCUGUUAGCGUAGUGCAGUAUUAGCUCUUUCCUUCCUUUAACAACGAGCAUUCCUCUUUGUGUUAGUCGGAGGUGUUAUUUUAAUUUGAUGUAUCAGUGAGUUUUAGCAGUAGUAUAUAUUAUAUUAAUGUAUUGAAAUAAGUCAACAGUUAAUAUGGAGGAAAAGCAGUUUACAGCAUUGACGGUGCCCACGGAUUAUUUUCAGCAGUGGUACCAGGCCAAUCAGCAGCACCCUGAGGCCCAACAUGUGAUGCCGUAUCACAGCUUGGGUCGUUACAGCGAUGGCUACAUGGAGGAGCCUGUCAUGGCAGAGCUGUCUGUCCACAGGGAACCAUCAGAAUACCAGGAACCCUUUCACCACAGCUACCCUCCAGCCUCUAAUCAUUACCAGGAGCAGAUCAACCAGCCGAGCUUCACGGAGCAUCUGCAGCAUCAGGCAGUCCCCCUACAUCAGCAUAUGAUGCCGCAGCAGGAACCUAAUAUUCAACCUCAUGAACCUCCUCAAGAUGUGACGCCAGUAAAGAAGAAAAGAGGUCGACCUGCUAAAAAGCAGGCAGAGGAUAAGGACAUCAAGGAGGAGGUGGAUGAAGCUGAAGCGGCCAAAAAAGCAAAAAGGAUUCUGAACCGCUUCAAUGGCAUGAGUGUGGCUGAAGUUAUGACUAAAACGCUCCCUGAUGUUCUAACCUACAAUCUUGACAUUUUGAUAAUUGGAAUUAACCCAGGACUAUUAUCAGCCUUCAAAGGACACCAUUACCCAAACCCAGGAAACCAUUUCUGGAAAUGUCUGUUUCUGUCUGGUUUGACUGAACAGCAGCUCAACUACAUGCACGACCAGAGCCUGCCUGGGAAGUACAGCAUCGGCUUCACUAAUAUGGUGGAGAGGACCACACCGGGGAGCAAGGACCUCUCUAGUAAGGAAAUUCGAGAGGGAGGUCGACAAUUGCUUGAAAAGCUACAGAAGUACAGGCCAUCAAUCGCUGCUUUUAAUGGCAAAGGUAUUUAUGAAAUUUUUAGCAAAGAAAUCUUUGGCGUAAAGGCCAAGAAUAUUGAGUUUGGCCUGCAGCCUUACAAAAUCCCUGAAACUGAAACGGUGUGCUUCCUAAUGCCAUCAUCAAGCCCGCGUUGUGCCCAGUUUCCCCGUGCGCAAGACAAGGUGCAUUUCUACAUAAAACUGAAGGAACUGCGUGACCAGAUAAAAGGCCUGACACCCAACGGGGAGGUUCUGGAGACACAGUACUCAUUUGAUCUGCAGCUGGCUAAAGAGGAUGCUAAAAGGAUCGCAAUCAAAGAAGAGCAGGUGGAUCCGGAAUAUGAAAGCUGCAGUGGGCUUCAUGAUGGAGUGAGGCAGAGCAGCUGAGACAGAGGAGAGGUGACAAACAGGCCAACUACUGUAGCACUCAGGCUCUACAAUCACGGAGAAGACUGCUGACUGGACAGAUGUUCAGAAGAUAGUUAUUGACACCCUCCAUAAGACGUAGUCCACAUACACCAAUCAGAAGAGAGAAUGGCACAUCUGUGGUUGUAAGCCUAGAAAUAUAUGUGACCUGAACUAGUCCAAAGGUACAUCAGCAAGGAAAAGAAAUGACAAAAUGAAAGAUGACCGUGCCGCACCCAAGGAACUGCCAGGAAGAGACCACAACAGCUAUUUUUCUAACACUCUGGUAUCUGGUAUUUUUAUCACUAUUUAUUGCAUCUUGUAAAUUUGUUUCAAGUGAAUUAUUUUGUAUUUUGAUACAGUUGUAACUUAUGAUUUGUUUGCUGUAUACAUGGAUAAUUAAUUUUUUUUUCUUUGAUUUGUAAGCACAGCUUUAUUAAAUCUCGUCUAAAGAUGA